rnacentral:sRNA from 1 species
UUAGAAUCGAGCAGAAGAAGAAGAAGAAAGACGGAGAUGGAGGC